UCAUCAUGUGAGCUGCUUCUCUCCACUAUACUCUUCCACCAUGAUGUCCUACCUCACCUUGAGCCCCAAGGAAUGGAGCCUGCUCUCUAUGGACUGAAACCUAUGAAACUGUUAGCUCCCAAAUGAACUUAUCCUGCUCUAUAAUUGUGCUGGUUGGGUCUUUUAGUCAGAGUGGCAAAAAAGCUGACUAAUACAGAAAUUGAUACCAAGAAGUGGUGUUGUUGCUGUGACUAACCUGACUGUGGUUCAAAGAUUUUUGAGCUUUUGGAAUUGUUGAGAGAAAUUUUGAGAUUUUUAGCAGUGCUAGCUGAAAAUGCUUUAGGUUGUUGUAAGCAGAGCUAAAUGGCAAAUUCUGGUGGGAGCUCAGAAAAUCAAAAUGCCAGUAGGACUGUGGACAGUGAAAACAGUGCUCAAGAGGAUCUAUAGGAAAAGUUAAUUGGACUAGAGGCCAUUCAUGUUAUGUUCUGGCUGAGAAGUUGUCUGUAUUUUGCCUGUGUCCUGAGACUUUUUUUUUUUUUUUUGAGGCUGACUUAAAAGUGAUGGAUUUCUUAAUCUGGCAGAGAAAUUUCUAGAUAGCUUAGCAUUCGGGCCAUGGCAUGGAUAUUGCUGACACCUUUUAGUCAAAUUAAUUGUGAUAUUCAGGAGAAGAAAGAGGAGCAGAAAUAUUUUAAAACUUGGACUGGAAAGGCAGGAGUAAAACUGUGGCUAAGGAAUUUGCAGUUGUUAAAGACAUUACUACCUCUAAAGAAAUGCUAAAGACUUUUUCCAGAGACUAGAAGAAAGAUGGCUUGAGGGCACCUCAGGAACUGGCAAGAUCACACCCACCUCAGGCUCAAGGGAGUAAAAGUGAAAAUUCUCUUGAGCCCAAAGGAGUAACCUUCUUGAGCAAGGGAACCUAGGAAGUUUCUUCAACAUUCUCAACUACUCAGGCCCUCAGAGGCUUCUGGCCAAGGGUCCCAGAAGGCUUGGCUGUGGCUUGAGAUGGCAGCAGACUUUGGCAUCAAAAACACAUGGUGCUGGUUCUGCAGGAAUGCAGGAAGCUGGAGUUAGGGGUUCAUGGAGGCUUCCACCAAGAUUUCAAAGAAGGCCUGGGAGGCCAAGCAAAGUAUAGGAGGGUCAGAGUUCGUGCAGGCAACCUCUGAGAGGGUGAUACAUGGAGAUGUGAGGAGAAAACCAAAACUGCAGAGGAGACCCCGAAGUUUAAGAAAUGCCAGUGCUAUGGAAUUCCCUCUAAGGAAGGCUGCAGGAAUUGAGUGAAGUUAAGCCAACAGAAAGGCUACUUGGGCUGCAACUAAUAAAGCCACAGGGGCAGAGAUACCCAAGUACUUUAGAGAGGACAUUAAGAUGUACUCUAGAUGCCAGACACAGAACACUAGAAUUUAUUUGCCCAGCUGAAUUUCAGUCUCACUUUGGUCUUAUCCCUUCUUUCUAAUGCCCCUAUUUUGCUGAAUGGAAAUGUUUACUCUGUAUCAUUAUAUAUUGGAUAUUUGUAAAUUGCUUUGAAUUUUACAGGAGCUUACAAUGUGAGAUUGCCCUGAGCCUCAGAGAAGAUUUUGGACUUGAACUUUGAGCAAUCUCGGAACUGUUGACUAUGGGGGCUCUUGGGAAUGGAUUAAAUAUAUCUUACAUUGUCAGAGUCCAGGAUAUAGGAGUGAAUGAAACAGCUCAUGGAGCCUGUAUUCUAGUAAGAGGAGACAGACAAAAGCCAAGUAAGUAAACAUACUAUACAUUAGAAGAGGUAAGUAAUAUAAAGAAAAUUAAAACAGCAAUAGAAGAAGGUGUUGGGGUAGGCUAGCCACCCAUAUAUAUCCACAUUCUGAUCCCUGGAACCUAUGAACAUGUUAUGUUGUGAAGCAAGGAGAAAUUAUGAUUGCAAAUGGAAUUAAGGCUACUAAUAAGCUGUUCCUAAAGUAAGAAAAUAAUCCUGGAUUAUCCAAGUAGCCCAGCAUAAAACAAGGGCCCUUUAAAUAUAGACAGGGAACUGGAGAGUCAAUGUCAAAGUAACUCUGUGAGAAAAGUUCAACUCCUUGUUCAUGGCUGUGAAGAUAGAGGCAGAAAGCCAUAAGCCAAGAAAUGUGAAUAGUCACUAGAAAAUGAAAAAGGCAAGGAAAUAUCCAUUCUCUUCUCCAGCCUCAGGAAGGAAACAGGCCUGCUGAUGCCUGCAUUUUAAUCUAGUGAAAUCCACAUCAGACUUUAACCUCUAGAACUAUAAGAUAAUAAAUUAAGAUUGUUUUAAACCAUUAAAUUUCUGGUAAUUUAUUAGAGCAUCAAUAGGAAACUGUACUAGGAUUCUGCAGAGAAAGAAAGUCAAUAGGAUAUGUAUGUGUAAAGAUUUAUUAUAAGGACUUGGCUCACAUGAUUGGAGGCUAAGAAUUCCCAAGGUCUGCAGUUGAGAAGCUGGGAACCCACAGGAGCUAGUAGUGUUCCAAUAUGAGUCUAAAGACCUGAGAAGCAGGAAAACUGAUGGUAUAAGUUCCAGUCCAAACGUUGGUAGCUUCAAGACCCAAGAAGAGCCAGUAAUUUUUUUUUUUUCACAUCCGAAGGCAGGGAAAUGCUGGCGUUUUAGCUUACAGCAGUCAGGCAGGAGGAGUUCCCUCUUAUGAACAAGGUCACCCUUUCUGUUCUAUGCGUGUCUUCAGCUGUUUGGAUGAGGCCCACCCACAUUAGGGAAGGCUAUCUGCUUUUCUCAGUCUACCAAUUAAAACAUUAUUCUCAUCCAUAAACACCCUCACAGACACACCUAAAAUGAUGUUUGAACAAAUAUCUGAGCACCUUGUGACCCAACCACAUUGAAACAUAAAAUUAAUCAUCACAGAAACUUUUAUUAAGGAGAUCAGAGGUAGCUUCCAUUAUAGGAUCAAAUUUGAACAAAUACUGGAAUAAAUAAGAGAAGGAGCCAUGUAUAUAUCCAGGGAAAAUUUUCUAGGUAGAAGAGAGAGCAACUACAAGGCUCUAAGUUGGGAGAGUUUUGAAAUAUUAGAGGAGCAACAGCAAAGUCAGCCAGCAUAACUAGACUGUAACCAAAAGUAGUGAGAGAAAUAAGAGGUAAGGUGGAGUGAUGAGGUAAAGAAGUAGUGGAAAGGAAAGACUGGGGCCCUUUAGCCAAUUGUAAAGAUGUUGAUGUAGUUUCCAGUAAGAUGGGAAAACCACUACAGAGUUUUAAGCAGUGGAAUGAUGUGAUCAGACUUACUUUUUGAAAAAGAUCAAAGCCAAAGAAUAGAGUAUUUGUAGAUAAGAGUAAAUGUUGGAUGACCAGUGAGGAGGUUAUUAUGGUAAUAAGUGAAAAAUGAUGAUGAUUUGGAAGCAGUGGAGAUUAUGAGAAGGGAUAGGUUUCUGGCUAAGUUUCUAAGAGCCAUCAUAUUUUCUUUUUGAAGAGUAUAAAGAAUCAGAUAACACCAAGGUUUUGGGCUUAAGCAACUGGGUUAAUAGAGGUGCCAGAGACUUGAGGAUGCUGAGGGAGAACGUAGCUUGAGAAAGAGUUGGGAGUUUUGGUAUCUCGCAGUAAGCUUGAGAUGCCUAUGAAUACAAUUGUGUCUGCAUACUCAGUAUUAAUCUUGAAUUCAGGAAGGAUUGAUUGAGCCUAGAUAUUCAAGUUUAGUUUAACAUUGGAUGAGAACAACUUAAGAGUGAGUACAGGUAGACAAAAUAAUUAGGCUGUUAUUUUUAAAAGUAUUUGAAAGCCAGCUAUUGCAGGGAGGAAAUGAUUUGCCAAAGUAUUAUAAUAAAUGGCUGUAGUUGUGGAAUUUUAGACCCCUGUAAGGAAAAAUGUAUUCUCAUUUCUGUAAAAGUGUGAAGGGCAGUGUUUCCUUAAGUCUACUUUCAGCUCCAUAUAUGUCUGUAAUGCUGAAUGCCUACAACAAUAAUCACAGCUAAUAUUUACAGAUCUGUUAAUAUGUAUCAGGCACAGGACCUAAAUAUUACUUACAUAUACUAAUUUACUUAAAUGUCAUAGCAGCCCUAUGAAGUAGGUAAUGUUAUCACCAUUUUGCAUGAAAAAAUGGAAUAAUUUUCACAAUAAUCAAACUUCCCUAAAAACAUUGUAAAUGUAUUUUAUAAUUUUCAAAUAUAUAUUUUUUGUUCUCAACAGUCUUGUGAGAUGGAUAGGGAAGGUAGUAGUACAAUUUUAUAGAUAAGAUCAAUGAGUGACAGUGAGGUUGUAAUAUAUCCAAAGUCACAAAGCUAGUGAAGAGUGUAGCUGGAACUCACACCCAAUUCUACUGAUUUCAAGCCAACUUUGUUUAAUUUGCACUGUCCAAUAGAAUUUCCUGUGAUGAUAGAAAUGUUCUAUAUCUGUUCUCUUCAAUAUGGUAGUCACUCAACACGUGGAUAUGCAACACUUGAAAUGUGGCUAGUGAAACCAAGCAACUAAUUGUUUGUCAUUAAAUUUGAAUGUAGAUAUAGCCAUUGUGACAAGUAAAUAAUAUAUUGGACUGUACAGCUUAAAAAUAUUUAUAAAUCAUUAACAAAGUAAGAUUAUAGGAAAUAUUACUAGGGUAUCCCUUUAUCACUACAUCAAAGAUGGACCCUGAUGACUUUUUCCAUCUGUAUCAAAAAUAGUUAAUCUUAUAGUUAAUCUUAUAUUAUAUUAUUUCAAAAUAUAGAAAAAGAUGGUAUACUCUCCAGUUUGAUGAGAUAAAAUAAAGUCUUUAUCCUGAAACCCCAAAAUAACUUCAUAACAAAUUAAAAUUUUCAGGCUGAUCAUAAUUUAUGAAUAUUUGGCAAACCACAUAUUAAAAGGAUUCAACACAAUCAUCAAAUAAAAUUAUCAGCUUGAAAUUGUUACAACAGAAUGAUUAUUUGAAUACAUAAAAUAAUCUUUGGUAUAUAGAAAAAAAAUGAAAACUAAAAGUACAAUAUAUGAUACACACAGAAUUUAUAUAAACCACCAAUGUUUACUCUAGCCCUAUUAAGCAUUUGCAUGGCCUCCUCCCCUCAAGUCUAGAAUGGUUCUAGCAACUUUCUUUUAACAAAUACAAUUUGGCAAAAAUGACAGGAUGUUACUUCUGAGAUUAAGAUACAAAAACUGACUUCUGCCUUGUUCUCUUUCUCACAUGUUUAUACUGAAGAACUGAGGGUGACUUCUGGUCAACAGCUAGGAAGAAACUGAGACCUCACAAAGUUGUCGAGUCCUUCCAACAACCACAUGAGUGAGCUUGGAAGCAGAUCCUUUCUUAGCAUAGCUUUCAAAUGAAACUACAGCCCCAGCCAACAUCAUGAUUUCCAGCUUAUAAGACACCUGAAGGCAGAGACAUUCAUCUGAGCCAUAAUUAGUUUCUUUACCUAUAGAAACUGUGAGAUAAUAAAUACUUAUUGUUUUAAGCCCUUAA